rnacentral:misc_RNA from 1 species
UAUACCUCAUCCCUAGUUAUAAUUGAGGUGCUCACCAUGUGACCACAAACUUGGCACAAUGGAUUAACGACAUAUCUUUGGCCUAUUCAUCCUUUAUAUAUAACAAUGGAGAAUUGUGAUCCACCACUCAAGCUAGACUAAGGGGAACAUCAGAUAUAGGAUUCUUCAAUGCCAACCCCUUUACCGUAAUCAUCAUGCAAAUGUCCCUAAAACUGAGAUGCUUGCAGCGCUAAGCCCAUUAUCAAUGACAGCCCACAAGCCGCUAGGCUUUCGGUCAAUGCGUACAUGGAAUUCACCGAACGAUUGGUGUCAAUCCAUGAAACUCAAAACCACAGCUCUAUCAAUGCCCCGCAAUUAAACCCUUAAACCGCUAAUAUUUCAUGCUCCCACAAGGCUAUAAAAGCCAUGGAACAACCGAAAGAGACCAAUCUUUUUGCAUGUGAUCAACGUACCUCCACGUACUGUCAUGGACACAAACCUUGCUCUCUACGACUUAAAGAAAGUCCUCUUGGUGAUCAAUAACUCAUGCUGAGUGGAUUGAGGCCAAGAGUGAAGUCAUCUUCUUUCCUCCAUUGGACUUGGAUAAGCCUAAUUCAGUGUCAUGUCCAUGUCAAUUGCUAACCAAAAUAAUAUCAAACAAAUUCACGUGUGAUUUACUCAUUUAUUAAAUUGGAUUGCCCAUUGAAUUAGUUUAUUGACUAAUUUAUUAAUAUGACCAGUUUAUUCGGCUAUAAUUGAUUAAAAAAAAAACUUAUCAAAAAUCAUUUCAAAAAUUUUAUUAAAUUAAUUUUUAGUCCCA